AGUGAACGCUGGCGGUAGGCCUAACACAUGCAAGUCGAACGGCAGCACAGUAAGAGCUUGCUCUUACGGGUGGCGAGUGGCGGACGGGUGAGGAAUACAUCGGAAUCUACUUUUUCGUGGGGGAUAACGUAGGGAAACUUACGCUAAUACCGCAUACGACCUACGGGUGAAAGCAGGGGAUCUUCGGACCUUGCGCGAUUGAAUGAGCCGAUGUCGGAUUAGCUAGUUGGGGGGGUAAAGGCCCACCAAGGCAACGAUCCGUAGCUGGUGUGAGAGGAUGAUCAGCCACACUGGAACGGAGACACGAUCCAGACUCCUACGGGAGGCAGCAGUGGGGAAUAUUGGACAAUGGGCGCAAGCCUGAUCCAGCCAUACCGCGUGGGUGAAGAAGGCCUUCGGGUUUUAAAGCCCUUUUGUUGGGAAAGAAAAGCAGCAGGUUAAUACCCCGCUGUUCUGACGGUACCCAAAGAAUAAGCACCGGCUAACUUCGUG
rnacentral:rRNA from 1 species